rnacentral:rRNA from 1 species
GAUGAACGCUGGCGGCGUGCUUAACACAUGCAAGUCGAACGGAAAGGCCCUAGCUUGCUUGGGUCCUCGAGUGGCGAACGGGUGAGUAACACGUGGGUGAUCUGCCCUUCACUUCGGGAUAAGCCUGGGAAACUGGGUCUAAUACCGGAUAGGACCUCUUCUUGGAUGUUGUGGUUUAAAGUUUUUUCGGUGUGGGAUGAGCUCGCGGCCUUUCAGCUUGUUGUUGGGGUAAUGGCCUAUCAAGGCGUCGACGGGUAGCCUGCCAGGGGGGGUGUACGGCCAAAAUGGGAAUGAGAAACGGCCCAGACACCUACGGGAGGCAGCAGGGGGGAAUAAUGCACAAAGGGGGCAAGCCUGAUGCAGCGAAGGCGCGGGGGGGAAGACGGGCUUCGGGUUGUAAACAACUUUCGCUAGGGAAGAAGCGUUGUGUGACGGUACCGGGAGAAGAAGCACCGGCUAACUACGUG